rnacentral:rRNA from 1 species
UACGGAGGGUGCGAGCGUUGUCCGGAAUCACUGGGCGUAAAGGGCGCGUAGGUGGCCCGUCAAGCGCGCGGUGAAAGCCCGGGGCUCAACCCCGGGUCGGCCGUGCGGACUGGCGGGCUCGAGCACUGUAGGGGCGGGUGGAAUUCCCGGUGUAGCGGUGGAAUGCGUAGAGAUCGGGAAGAACAUCAGUGGCGAAGGCGGUCUGCUGGGCCGUUGCUGACGCUGAGGCGCGACAGCGUGGGGAGCAAACGGG